GAUCAUUGACAUAUUUGAUAAGCGACAAAAACAAGAGAUAAAUCUGUGGGUGCAAUGCCCACUAGUGACUAAUCCUCGAAAGGGGUGGAGUCGUUAGCCCUAGGCCUAUUGCGCUAGGGGUGGAGCUGGGGAGUUUAACUAGUCCAGCCAUCGGAGAGCGAAGCUCCCUGACGACAC
rnacentral:sRNA from 1 species